CCUCUCUCGGGGUCGCACCUGGAGAGUUUCCAGUAAUCUACCAGGGUCGGCUCCGGGAGGGAGAGUAAAGCAGAGGCCUACCCAUUCCAUUCCUAGCUUGGCCAGUGGCUGGCGAGUGGAAAGCAAUCUGCUACAAGU
rnacentral:snoRNA from 2 species